AUUUCUAAAACAAAGUUCCCUCUUUUGUUCCCAAAUUUCCAUUUCCUCCCCCAAUUUUUAGAAAAACUCUUAUCUUUUUUCCAUCUUCCCCAAUUUUCUCCAAUCACGAUGCUCCCCCUUCACACUACGCGAUCUUCCCUCCACCACCCAAGCUCUAGACGGUAGCCGUUCAUAUACCGCAGUCACUCCCGCUCCACCACAGAUCCCAACUCUUCUGUAUAGGCACCGCACAUGACUGAGGACAGGCUCCGUCUAGAGACACAGACGCUUCACACAGAAGCAUAAGCUUCACCAAUUUUCUCCGCAGACGCUUCACGCACAGACACCGUGCAUGGCUGAGGAAUGCUGCAAACCUUCUUGCCACCAACUCCACUUUAAAGUUAGGAUACACGUAAUAAGGUGUAUAAUUCAGCCUCAUUUGAUAACUAUUUGAUAUUUUAAAAAACGAAACUUACAAAUACUACUUUUUGUUGAUUUGGAAUUCAAAUGUUUCGUUUUGGAAUUCAAAUAUUUUUCUCUUACAAACAAGAAGCAAGCAUAAAUUUCAAAAACAACUUAAUUUUCUGUUAAUUUUUAAAUUUUAGGUUGAGGGUGUCAAACACUCUUGCCCUAAGAAAUUGAUUCUGCAUUUCAUCGGAGCCACUAACAUUCUUUACACAUUCGGAGGUCAUUCUAUAACUCCACAGAAAUUCAAGUACAUCAACUAGAUGGCUAUAUUGUACGUUUUCACUUUAACGCUUACCUCAUUCAUCAUCGUGUAUUGGGCCUUGGUGAUGAGCUUCUAAACCACUCUAAUGCUUUCACCCUCCUCCCAAAAUCCAACUGUUGUGACGUCUCCAUCAGCCUUACACUUAUUCACCAGUUCACUUUGGCAUGGAUCAAGUUGGGCAGACUUGAAAUGGCCAAGAAAGCAGUUUGUUUUAUGCACAAUUGUCUAAUGUUAAGUACUUUUCUGCAUUGAUGACAAUUGUAUCGAAUGAUAUCUUCUUACCUGGAGCUAAUUUAUUUGUCAGACUAUGGAAACUAAUUUGAAGAAAGAAAAAUUCAUUAUGCAAAAUAUUACCCUUAACCAUUUGAUAAUGAUAUAUCUAUCUUGCUUCCUCGAACAUUUUUUCCAGGGUUUCGCUUUGUAAAUUUGGCAUUGCUGGCACGUAUUCGGGUGUUAGUUCAACAAAUAUUUCUAGAUGUUGUUUCAGUAUUCAACACAGUUUUAUCUAUCUCUGAAAAAGAAGCAAGUAGUUGCAAUAAACUAGGAAGGAAUUCAGGUCUUUAGAGAAUUUUACCCAACGAAUGAUGAAUUUGUUCUCUUAGAGUGAAUUUGGGAAGUAGACAAAUUUAUUUUGAAAGAGAGAACACAAGAAGUUGCAACUAAGAAUCAAGAACAUUUUUAGGCCUGAUUAUUUAGCCACUUCAGCUCUGCAGUAUCAGAAACUUAAAUAUUUUCUUGGAGGUGUAGAUGAUCUGAGGAGGCACAGGCAAAUCAAAGUAAUGAGAAAGGUCCGAUCUAAUGAAAAGACUAAGAAUGGUUUGCUAGCAAGCCCAUCGGGAAGAGUUAAUGAUAUAUCUAUGGAAGAUAAUACAGAAAUAAAAGACGGUUUGAUCAGUCCGAUAAAGGGGAGCAAGAGGUUAAAAUAUGUAAGGAGCAACUAUAUGUAUGGUUCAUUGAUAUAUAUGCAAUUUGUUAAGAUAUAAUUAGUUCUUUGACGAAAAGUUUGGGUUGAUUCAAUUGUUCAAUUAAUGUGUAGUUUAGCACAUUUGUGUA